CAGCCGCCGCGGUAAUACGUAGGGUGCGAGCGUUAAUCGGAUUUACUGGGCGUAAAGCGUGCGCAGGCGGCCCGUUAAGACAGGUGUGAAAUCCCUGGGCUCAACCUAGGAAUUGCGCUUGUGACUGGCGGGCUCGAGUACGGUAGAGGGGGGUGGAAUUCCUGGUGUAGCAGUGAAAUGCGUAGAGAUCAGGAGGAACACCGAUGGCGAAGGCAGCCCCCUGGGCCUGUACUGACGCUCAUGCACGAAAGCGUGGGGAGCAAACAGGAUUAGAUACCCUGGUAGUCCACGCCCUAAACGAUGGGUACUAGCCGUUUGGUGCGCGAUAGCGCUGAGUGGCGAAGCUAACGCGUGAAGUACCCCGCCUGGGGAGUACGGCCGCAAGGUUGAAACUUAAAGAAUUGGCGGG
rnacentral:rRNA from 1 species